rnacentral:rRNA from 1 species
GAUGAACGCUGGCGGCGUGCCUAAUACAUGCAAGUCGAGCGAACAGACGAGGAGCUUGCUCCUUCGACGUUAGCGGCGGACGGGUGAGUAACACGUAGGUAACCUACCUAUAAGACUGGGAUAACUUCGGGAAACCGGAGCUAAUACCGGAUAAUAUUUCGAACCGCAUGGUUCGAUAGUGAAAGAUGGCUUUGCUAUCACUUAUAGAUGGACCCGCGCCGUAUUAGCUAGUUGGUAAGGUAACGGCUUACCAAGGCAACGAUACGUAGCCGACCUGAGAGGGUGAUCGGCCACACUGGGACUGAGACACGGUCCAGACUCCUACGGGAGGCAGCAGUAGGGAAUCUUCCGCAAUGGGCGAAAGCCUGACGGAGCAACGCCGCGUGAGUGAUGAAGGUCUUCGGAUCGUAAAACUCUGUUAUUAGGGAAGAACAAACGUGUAAGUAACUGUGCACGUCUUGACGGUACCUAAUCAGAAAGCCACGGCUAACUACGUG